CGGGUGUAGCUCAAUGGUAGAGUUCUGGCCUUCCAAGCCAGCUGUGAGGGUUCGAUCCCCUUCACAGUCACC
rnacentral:tRNA from 1 species